UCUAGCUCUUUUGCUGACAGUUUACAUGAUGGUGACCAAGCGAACGAUGAAGUAGAAGAUGACGAAGGACAUGUUCUGACUAAAGAAGGACCCGGCGCGGUCGGCAAGAAGGUUGCCAGGAGCUGAACCCUGCUCCGGUACCACAAGGGAUGAAUGCUGAUGGAGGAGCAAUCCUUGCUGAUGAUAUGGGUCUUGGGAAGACUAAGAUCUCAAGAGUCAGAAGAAACGAGCUGCAUGAACACCUGGGGGUUGUGGAGGGACUCUGGGGACUGUGGACAAAUUUAGGGUAGGGCGCGUGAUUCUACGUUUACGGCUAUGAUGCUAAGCAAAAUUUUAUUUUGCAUUUACGGCCAUGAAGCUACAUUUAGUACAUGACGGAUGUUUCAACAUAACUUAACAGAGAAGAACUUCUAAUGCUAAAAAGAUGGCAGCUAUGUGUUAAUUUACUGACCAGCAAACGAUGUAUGCCGUGACGUAUUGUCGUUUACAAUUUUGUUUUAUAUGUAGAAGUUCGGUUAAUAUACUUUAUCUGGCUUAA